CUACGGGAGGCAGCAGUGGGGAAUCUUGGACAAUGGGCGCAAGCCUGAUCCAGCCAUGCCGCGUGAGUGAAGAAGGCCCUAGGGUUGUAAAGCUCUUUCGGCGGGGACGAUAAUGACGGUACCCGAAGAAUAAGCUCCGGCUAACUUCGUGCCAGCAGCCGCGGUAAUACGAAGGGAGCUAGCGUUGUUCGGAAUCACUGGGCGUAAAGCGCACGUAGGCGGAUUUGUUAGUCAGGGGUGAAAUCCCGGGGCUCAACCUCGGAACUGCCUUUGAUACUGCUAGUCUUGAGUCCGGAAGAGGUGAGUGGAAUUCCUAGUGUAGAGGUGAAAUUCGUAGAUAUUAGGAAGAACACCAGUGGCGAAGGCGGCUCACUGGUCCGGUACUGACGCUGAGGUGCGAAAGCGUGGGGAGCAAACAGGAUUAGAAACCCUUGUAGUCC
rnacentral:rRNA from 1 species